CCCAUUGGCUUAACAAUAAAGUGGCAAGGGGAAUCACCAAUAUAACCCUGUUACAUGUGGUGCUUCCAGUCUUUACUUCGCCAUGGAGGGCUGGAGCUACAUCGUGUCCCUGUAAUUCUGCUUUGUGGCCUUCAGUAUGGAGGGCUUCGGUUGACCUGGUGAGCAGCCAGGAAGAGUCCUACGGAGGAGCCCCCAGUGGAUCCUACCAGGGGCUGAACUGGAUCCUGGGUCAGCUGAUCCAUCUGUGUAGCUGCCUGUGCCAAAGCAGACCCCUACGAUGCCCACUGUUGCCCAUGUUCUUGCCAAACCCGGUGGGUAGAUGCUUGUGUGCUGAUGCCACAGUGGAAACCCUGUGCCACAGGAACAUGGACUUGAGCACCACCAAAGACAGAGAAAUGCGGCAACACGGAUGCAGGCUUCCCGGAGGGGAUGUCAUACAUGUCGGACUACCAUGACUGGUACGAUAUCUCCUAACUGGAGGGACACUGGCUACAAAAUAUCCAGCAUGGUUUAUCUGCAUAUAGGCAACACUGAUAACUGAAGGUAUAAUCUUUCGUAAUUAAGUUACUUGGAACCUUUUUUUCAUCUUAACAUUUUUUUUAUACUGUAUCCUUAAUGUACUCAAUGUAUCGUGGAACCAGUUUUACUCUCCCCAUAAAGUGCAUUAGGCCUGUGAUGAUGGUUGUAGUACAGCACUUAAGAGUUCAGCAUGUACACUUGUUUGUGGUUUCAUGAUGCAGUUUGUCUCCACAAGAGGGAGUACAUUGAUAAAGCCAUGUGGAUUUUGUUUUGAUGGACUGCAUAUUCUACUGAUCCAACUUUUCCCAACUGCUGUCCUGACUUUUUUGUGUGCAAAUAAAUGAAGGACAUAAAAGACUAGA